CCGGAGUGUGAAUUUAGGAAGGUGCUCACUUUGGGAACCAUCCCUGCAUGACCCUGUGCUAUCUUUGCAACUUCUCUACAAAUCUAAAAUUAUUCCAAAGCAAAAACUUUAUUAAAGAAUAAGGCCCUGGCUAGAAUCUUGCAAUAUCUUAUUUAGGGUACAAAACAGCUACAUGCUCAGCAAGAGAAAGGGAGAAUCUGACACACAAUGUCCAGGAGGGUCCAGCCCACUUCAGGUCUGGGAGAGAAGGGUCAUCCGGUUGUACAUGCCACCCAGGUGCACACGGACCUAUGGGGUAAAAGUGCAGUACAGGAGAUACUGGCAUUUGAUGGUCCCAGCAACCAAAUAUUGGGCAUGAUAGUUACGUAGGAGCUCCCCAGGUAAAGUAUCCAUAUAUACGAUACCUAAAGGGAUUCUUUAACUUGAGGCUUUAUAAACCCAUUAAGUUAAGUUGAGGAUGUUUGGCCCAUAGGCCAUUGAUGUAUUAAUGGACUCUGUGUAAUUCUCAUAGGCACCAUGGAUAAUAUACUAUGGGUUCUGAUGAGAAUUGCCAUUUUCUUCUCCCUCAAGGACUGACCAUAGUCCUAAAUCAGGAUGGACAGCAUCCAGCCGGGUCUUGAAUGGUGGCCCAUCCCGAUGUGGACUCCCGUGAUCUGGACUGGCUGGGAGGAUGCUAUUGCCUGGUGGCCCCAUGCCUGCUGGCCAUGGGACUUUCGGCCUUCACGUGUUAACUGAAAUAGUGAACGCCAUGGGGCUCCAGGUCUCUAGCUCCCAUCCGGGCAUUCCCCACCUGACAUCACUCUGGAGGGUGGAUGCUUUUGUCAGCUGUGUCCUCAAUAAACUGCAACCAGGCAUGGGGCAAUGUGGAGGGAGGGAAGAGACUUAAAUUCUUUUUCUGGGGGGAAGAGUCACCUCCUACUGGAAUCGAGAGCUAAAAAGAGUUCUCCCAUGUGUGCAGUGCCACGUAACUUCCGGUGUAAUGCCACGAAACACCCACGCGUGGAAAACACAGUUGCCAGUUCUUCCUCCUCCACCGUGCAGCUCCAGGGAGCUGAGGGGAGCCAGCCCCCUCCAGAAUUAUCUGAUGCCAGGGUUGGCAUGGACAUAAUAAUGAACAAGCUUUGGCUGUCUCCUUUCCCGAGGGUGGUGUGGGCUCCCUGUGGCUGGAAGGCGGCUGUCCUUCCGCCGGCCUGCUUCCGCUUGGCUCUGCUCGCUCUUCAGUCACAGUCCAAGCCAGGGUCCAUGAAGACAGAUGACAAAUGGGAACCCCCGAGAAGCACCUAACUAAGGGUCAGGUGUGUUUUCCUUGAAGCCACAGGAAGACCAUGACCCUCAGUCCUCAGAGCAGCAACCCAGGACUGCGGCGUAAUGGGCCUGGUCUGCGCUGGGUGCCUCGUUCGGAGCCAGCAGGAACCAGCACAUAGCCAGGCUAAUGAGACCAGGAGGGUCAGCUGGACCUUGACCAUGGUUCUCAAAGGGUGUGCCAGGACCCGCAGCAGAAGCACCACCUGGGAACUUGUCAGAAAUGCCAAUCCUCACCCCUCCUCCAGGCUGAAUCCUAAACUCUGGAGGUGGGGCCCAGCCAUCUGUGAAUGAACUCUCGCGGGGUCUUACCGACCCAGCCUCACGGGCGAGAACCCCUGAUCUAGGAGCCUGGUUCUCCAACUGGUCUGUAUGUGUUUUCAAAAUGCUUGAUCUCUCACUGGGAAUUUUUUAAAAAAUAGAUUUAAAAAAUGCUAACAUCUUGAUCACCACAGAUUAUGGUUUGGUUUCUAUGAGGACCGAUGUGUGGACAUUGGACUUUUCGGAACGCCCCAGGGAUUCUGACGGGCAGUAAAGUUCGAGAACUCCUGGCCCAGAACAAUCCCAGAGCUCUGAGUCUAGGGUCCUCCCAAACCUGGCGUUGCUCUGUCUUCCAGGCCCUGAAAGUUCCUUUCUCUCUGAGAGUAGUUCUAGCACAGGAUUCACUGCUCUGACUGCACCUGAAAAUAAACCAGGGAGAUUUCUAAAAGUUCUCAUUUAAUUGUUUUAGACUUUUCGCAUUGUCUUUUCUCAGUUAAUCCUAAUGUGCAACCUUGGUUGAGAAUCAGAGACUAACUCUCGCCCCAUUCUCUUCUGGGUAGAGUUUCUCCUCUCCGAACAACAUCUGAAAUUAUCUC
ensembl:lncRNA